rnacentral:rRNA from 1 species
GUGCGAAGCCAGCCGCAAGAUGAGAACUCCAUUGAGGGUCGUCAGAGACGAUGACGUUGAUAGGAUGCAGGUGUAAAGACAGCGAUGUCAAAGCCGAGCAUUACUAAUUGCCCGAACACUUUCUUUAUU